rnacentral:rRNA from 1 species
UCGGACUGCAGGCUGCAACCCGCCUGCACGAAGCUGGAAUUGCUAGUAAUCGCGGAUCAACAUGCCGCGGUGAAUACGUUCCCGGGCUUUGUACACACCGCCCGUCAAACCAUGAAAGUUGGGAACACCCGAAGCCAGUGAGCUAACCGAAAGGAGGCAGCUGUCGAAGGUGGGUUCAAUGAUUGGGGUUAAGUCGUAACAAGGUAGC